GAUGAACGCUAGCGGCAGGCCUAACACAUGCAAGUCGAGGGGCAGCACAGAAACAGCAAUGUUUUGGUGGCGACCGGCGGACGGGUGCGUAACGCGUAUGCAACCUACCUUUAACAGGGGGAUAACGGAGAGAAAUUUCCACUAAUAUCCCAUAACAUCGAUCAAGGCAUCUUGAUUGGUUGAAAACUACGUUGGUAAAAGAUGGGCAUGCGUUGUAUUAGGUAGUUGGUGAGGUAAUGGCUCACCAAGCCUACGAUACAUAGGUGGACUGAGAGGUUAGCCCCCCACACUGGUACUGAGACACGGACCAGACUCCUACGGGAGGCAGCAGUGAGGAAUAUUGGUCAAUGGGGGCAACCCUGAACCAGCCAUGCCGCGUGCAGGAAGACGGCUCUAUGAGUUGUAAACUGCUUUUAAACAGGGAUAAAGCACAGUAUGUAUACUGUGUUGAAGGUACUGUAAGAAUAAGGAUCGGCUAACUCCGUGCCAGCCGCCGCCGUAA
rnacentral:rRNA from 1 species